AUGCGCCUACGGGACGCAGCAGUGGGGAAUAUUGGGCAAUGGGCGCAAGCCUGACCCAGCAACGCCGCGUGAAGGAAGAAGGCUUUCGGGUUGUAAACUUCUUUUCUCAGGGACGAAGCAAGUGACGGUACCUGAGGAAUAAGCCACGGCUAACUACGUGCCAGCAGCCGCGGUAAUACGUAGGUGGCAAGCGUUAGCCGGAUUUGCUGGGGGUAAAGGGGGAGUAGGCGGGACUG
rnacentral:rRNA from 1 species